rnacentral:rRNA from 1 species
CCUACGGGUGGCAGCAGUGGGGAAUAUUGCACAAUGGGGGAAACCCUGAUGCAGCGACGCCGCGUGAGUGAAGAAGCGUUUCGGCGCGUAAAGCUCUGUCAGCGGGGAAGAAACACGGUUCGCGAGAGCCGCGGACGGUACCCGACCAAGAAGCCCCGGCUAACUACGUGCCAGCAGCCGCGGUAAUACGUAGGGGGCAAGCGUUAUCCGGAUUUAUUGGGUUUAAAGGGUGCGCAGGCGGGCUGUUAAGCCGGCGGUAAAAAUUCAGGGCUCAACCCUGUCGAGCCGUCGGAACUGGCAGCCUUGAGUGGGCGAGAAGUAUGCGGAAUGCGUGGUGUAGCGGUGAAAUGCAUAGAUAUCACGCAGAACGCCGAUUGCGAAGGCAGCAUACCGGCGCCCGACUGACGCUGAGGCACGAAAGCGUGGGGAUCGAACAGGAUUAGAUACCCGGGUAGUC